UGAAAGUGAAGGCACGGGCGUGCCGUGCUAANGUGAGAGCUGUCNGCACGGGCAGCACAUCAUCGACCGAUCCCAUCCACAUCGUUUACGGUUUGGCGGGAUUCGNGUAAGAGUGUACCUGUUGCGACCCGAAAGAUGGUGAACUAUGCCUGAAUAGGGUGAAGCCAGAGGAAACUCUGGUGGAGGCCCGCAGCGAUUCUGACGUGCAAAUCGAUCGUCAAAUUUGGGUAUAGGGGCGAAAGACUAAUCGAACCAUCUAGUAGCUGGUUCCCUCCGAAGUUUCCCUCAGGAUAGCUGUAGCCCGAAGCAGUUUUAUCAGGUAAAGCGAAUGAUUAGAGGUAUCGGGGAAGAAACUUCCUCGACCUAUUCUCAAACUUUAAAUAGGUAAGAAGUCCGACUUGCUUAAUUGAAGCCGGACACAGAAUGCUGGGUUACUAGUGGGCCAUUUUUGGUAAGCAGAACUGGCGAUGCGGGAUGAACCGAACGCCGAGUUAAGGUGCCAAAGUCGACGCUCAUCAGAUCCCACAAA
rnacentral:rRNA from 1 species